ensembl:lncRNA
UAAACUUAGCCAGGCAAUGGUCAACAUCCAGGUAAUCAGUCCAAAACAAGAAACACAAACCAAGCAAGGAAACACGAAACCAGGGUGACAUUAAACAGUCCAAAACACGAAACACGAACAUCCACUAGGGAACCAGGAAAAAGCAGGGUGACAUGCAACAUGGACUCCGUAACAAUGACAGAAACCACCAGGGUAUUUAUAGACAGGUGAAAACAAGGUAAGUGGUGACAGCUGAACACAAUGAACAGUGAUGAACAGAUAAGGCUAGUGGGAAAUGUAGUUCAGAAGGGGGUGACAACAAGGGGAAGUGAGACCUCUAGUGGCCACCCAGGGAGACACAGAACAGACCCGUGACACUACCCCCCCUCUAAGGAGCAGCUUCCAGAUGCUCCUCAGAACAAAAUAAACACAAAACAAAGAGACCAGGAGGGAGGUGGACUGGUGGAGGCAGAACAGGGGGAGGGAUGGCGGGCCAGGCCCGUGUAGGGGAACUGGGACCGGCAGCGAUGGCUCCCCUGGUAGCCCAAGUGGCUCGGUCAGAUCAGGGGGCCAUGGUGGACCCGAAAGUUCAGGGGACCACGAGGGGCCAGGCAGUUCAGGUGGCCACGGUGGAUCAGUCCAUUCUCGUUGUGCAGACGGCCAGGGAGGAAUUCGCCAUUUGAGUGGCCCGAACGGAACCUGCCAAUCGGGGAGCCAGUAAGGAGCAGGCUGUGGCGAUGGCCAGGUCACGGCAUUGGACACCGCCUCGGGAACGGCUUUGGACAAGGGCACCGCCUCGGGAACGAUCUCGGGCAUGACCUCGGGCUCGGGCACCACCUCGGGAGCGGCCUCAGGAACGGCAUGGAACAAGAACACCGCCUCGGGAAUGGCCCUGGACACGGGCGUCGCCUCGGGAACAACCUCGGGUUCGGGCACCGCCUCGGGCACCGCCUCGGCAUCGGGCACCGCCUCGGCAUCGGGCACCGCCUCGGCAUCGGGCACCGCCUCGGCAUCGGACAUUGCAUCGGGAACCGCCUCGGGCACCGCCUCGGCCUCCGGAACAGCACCGGGCACCGCUUUGGCAUCGGGCACCGCCUCGGCCUCCGGAACCGUAUCGGGCACCACCUCGGCCUCCGGAACGGCAUCAGGCACCGCCUCGGCCUCGGGCACCGCCUCAGCCUCCGGAUCGAGCACUGCCUCGGGAACGGCCUCAGGAACCGCCUCGGCUUCAAGAACCGCCUCGGGCCCCGUAUCGGCCUCUGCCUCAGGCGCCGCCUCCGGGACGGCAGCGGGCUGCUCGGGAACCUCCUCCGGGCCGGCAGCGGGCUGCUCGGGAACGGCCUCCGGGACGGCAGCGGGCUGCUCGGGAACAUCCGCCGGGCUUUGAGGAACGGUAGACGCCUGUCCCCUCCUCCUCCGCCCUCUAUGAUGGCGAGUCGGUGUCACCUUGUCUGGAGACUCAGGCGUUGAGUCGGCCAUCUUGUCUGGUGACACAGGUGCAGAUUCGGCCAUCUUGUGCUGUGGCGCUGGGCUGGCGGCCAUCCUGUGCUGUGGCGCUGGGCUGGCGGCCAUCCUGUGCUGUGGCACUGGGCUGGUGGCCAUCUUGGGCAUUGGCGCUGGCUCCGCAGCCGGGACGUGAACACUCCUGGGAAUCUCUAAAAUCUGGUUCAACAUGGAAAAGUAAUCCAACAAUGUCUCCGCGGCCCUCUUGGGCAUUGGCGCUGGGCUGGCGUCCACCUUGCCUCGUGGCGCUGGCCCUGUGGCCAUCAUGGGCAGUUGCGCCACCAUGGCGGACCUGCGCUUCCUUUCCCCUCUCCGUCCGCCAUGGUGAGACAGUGGCUCCGAUCCGUCACACACGAGCCCAGGGUCGAAGGGGGGCCAUGGUUGAGAGCGAUGUUGAACCUCCUCUCGACUACUCCCUCCUCGGCGACCUCCCCUGGUUCCCCGGAAGACCACCAGGCUAGUUCCCUCAAAACUGCUCCUCUCCCGCUCUGUGGCUGGGGAGGAAACGUGAGCAGACAUACCGCUGGAUCUCAAGUUGACGGAGUCCUUCUGUCACGUCCGGGAUACAAGGAGACACAGUGAGAGAUCCAAAUGCGAGUACGUCUUUUAUUAAGGGCAAUCCAAAGAAUAAACAGUCCAGGCAGGGGGUCA